GAUGAAGAACGUAGCGAAAUGCGAUAAGUAAUGUGAAUUGCAGAAUUCAGCGAAUCAUCGAAUUUUUGAACGCACAUUGCGCCUCAGAGUAUUCUUUGAGGCAUACCUGUUCGAGCGUCGUUUAGACCAUAAGGCUUUGCCUUGCGUUGAUUUAUUGGAGUGAUCCAAUAAUCUAAACUUGUUGGCGUCGUAGUUUGACCAAGACACAGCACAAUGUGACACUGGGAGAGCAAAUGACCGCCUAUUCGAACUGUUUCUUCACGAAACGUAGGUUCGACCUCGGAUCAGGUAAGACUACCCGCUGAACUUAAGCAUAUCAAUAAGCGGAGGA
rnacentral:misc_RNA from 1 species